UAAACAGGAAGUUAUAGUAAAGUUAUAGAGUAUUGCCUUAUGCCACUGAAAUGUCUGUGUAUGUGCGUGUGUGUUUGCAUUUGCAUGAGCAUGUGGGAGGUGCAUUUUUGUGUGUGCACAUGUGUGAGCAGGUACACACGUAACAUAGUGUUAUGCAUGUGGAAAUCAGAGGACAACUUUGGAUGUAGGUCCUUGAGCCGGUUCUACUGUUUUUGAGACAGGGCCUUUAAUUAGCUGCGACUUUACCGAGAAGACUAAGUCUAGAUGUCCAGUGGGCUCUGGAGACCCACAUGUCUCCGCCUCCCUCUUCACCGUAGCUGAGGUUACAGUCUGGGUUCUAGGGUUCCAGACUCAGCUCUUCAUGCUUGUGAGCCAAGCACUUUUCCUGAGUGAGCUGUCACUAUGCCUCCCUAGUAAGCUGCAACCCCAGUCCUUGGAUAAUUUCUUCCUGAGUCCAUGAUCCACUGAAGGAUUGGACCUUUUCAGGAUGAGUAUAGAAUUUGGCCUCUCCCAGCUCUACUGUAGGAGUGGAUUUAUUAUAGAAUGUCUUCAUUCUUGGGUUGCCAUGGGAUUUCACACACAACUUAAUUCUAUCCUUGGCUAUAAGGCCAAAUGGCAUUGAAACUCAUGUGGGCUCCUUAUAGCAUGCAUUGUUAACCUGACAACCAAUAGCUGAAGUAAAUGGAGAAGGAGCAAGCAGGGGGAAAGCCCAAGGCUGAAUCAUAUGAAGGCAUCACAGUCUGGGGGGGGGAGGGGUCUAAGUUUAAGCCAAGUGAGGGGAUGUUAUACAAAUGUAGGUGGAAAGCAGGAGAAUCCAAAAACUACGGUGAUAGAAACUGUCAAGUCCUUACUUUACUUCAGGCUGAUGUUGAGGGAAACUGAGGCACAGUCCAGUUAUGUAGUCAAUACAGGAGGUGUGCUCCGUCUAUGGGAGGCUAUUCUGAGACUAGAAUUUAAUCUGCAUUAUGUCUUUUCCUAAGCAUGCACACACAGACUUAGUGCAUCAUCUGUCCUGACUGAGACCCUGUGUUGGCUGCAUCAUGUCUGUAUUUUUUGUUGUUACACAAAACUAGCAUAGAGUUCUUUUUCUUAUUGGUUUCACAGAUGGACAAUCCUCUCUUACAUGGAUGUCAGCAACUACAGUUUAUGGUUUUCUUCUACUCUUGCUGUCAAGUACAUCCAUCUCUGAAAACAAAGAAUGCACUUUAUGGCUUCUCUUCUGUGUUUCCAAGUUGCCAGCAUCCCCACUCUUACACAUUGGGGACAAUGUUCAGUAAAAUAAAGGUGACAUGAACUCAUGCUUUAUGAUAUCUUCUCUCUCUCUCUCUCUGUCUCUCUCUGUCUCUCUCUGUCUCUGCCUCUGUUUCUGCCUCUCUCGCGCACUCUCUCUCUUUGAUAACCAAAAUGGCUGCCAGGUGACUAAGGAGAAGAUAAUCUCAGUUAUAUCUGUGGGCAAAGGGAGCAUGCCCAUCCCCGGUGGGAGUGAGCCAGCUGGAAAAGGGUUGGAUCACCCAACUCAGCAUGCAAUGUGAAACAUAGGAUUGUGUCCUUCUGCAAGUUUCUACUUAACAUUUCCAAACCUUAGCUGGCCACGGGUAAAAGGGCCUAUGAAAGGGAGACCCUCAGCUAAGUGGACUGCCUGUGUCAUCAUAGGGAGCACUUAGGUUCCGGGACUCAGGUACCUAUAUAAACACCCAAGAUGGCUAAGCACUUUCUUCCCAUCUGAGCCAGCCAGGCAGACUCUGGAAAGAACUAACGCAACAAAGGCUGAUUCCUUGUGGUCUCUAAGGUCUGGAGAUGGUGAUAUGGAGCUCUGGCCUCUCUACCCCUCAUAAACAGCCUCCAGCCCCAGGAUGACCCCUUCCAUGGUCAAGUUCUCAAUAAGAGGCCCAGGCUUGCCUGUAAGCUUGUUGCCACUGAUUCUAGGGGGCUGAGUAUAAACAAUGAGAUGAUCUUGGAGUGUUCUGUUCCUAUUGUGUUAGCCUGGACUACCCAUCCUGGACAGAGCGGAUUUCAAGGUGCUUAGCUACGCAGUCUUCUCUGAUCCUGGAAAGAGAGGAGAAUGAGAUGGAGGGGCACUGUCAGGCACAUCAAAUCCAGUCAUGAGCCAGGCUUUCCCCCGGCUUUGAAGCCUGUGCCUAGUUGGUGGGAGCUGAGGGGAAGCUCCAUAUUGCUCUGCAUUGGGAAGAGUAGAGCGGAGUUGCUAAAAUCUUAGGGUCAACAGCGAACUCCACAGGAGAACUCCUCUAAAAUACAGCCAGGAACUGAAGAGCACUUUUGGAGGGGUCAGUUCUGGUUUCUGAGAACUGUCUUGUCGUUCUUUCAGUAAAGAACGCUGCCUUAGCAAGCGCGACCGACACAAAGUGCCCUGUUGCCACUGGGCUUAGUCAUUUUACCCCCACAUCCACACACCCACACACACACUGAGGGUGCCUCUUCAGCGAACUGUCCAAACUGGACUUUUCCUUGUCAUCACCAUGUCAAUCAUCUGGUGUGGGACCUUGUUGACUUCAGCCAAGACGAAGGCCCAUGACUAGAGAAAAACCUUGCUACUAGUCCAGGGAUUGAACCACCAUCUUUGGUCUUAUUAGCAUCGUGUUCUGACUGACAUGACUGACGCGGCCACUACAUCUCAGGAUAUUACUGGAAUAACCCAAAUCUAUAAAAAAAUUAAUUAGAUGUAAUUACACAUGCAUACACACACGUACACAUGAAUCCUAAACGAUUAUAUAUGCAUAUUGUGAUGGCAAGUGUUAUCAACUUGAUAGAAUCUAGCCCUACCUGGAAGAUGGACUUCCGGGCAAGCCUGUGGGAGGUUAUACUCACUGUGUUGAUUGACGUGAAGGGACCCACCUACUGACUGUGGCACUGUUCCCUGGCUGGGGUCCUGGCCUAUCGCAGGUGAAGACAAGGACCCCCGCAGCAGCAGGCACAUGCUGCUGUCUGCUGCCGGUUUGCGGGCGCAACGUGAUGAGCUGUUUUCUGCUGCCUUGACUUCCUCGCCAGGGUGGACUGUUCCCACGAACUGCGAGCCAGAGGAAGCCCCUUCUCCCUAAAGCUGUUUCUCUCAGACUGCUUUGUCACACUGCUGGAAGCUGUGGACCUAAGAAGCACACAUAUGAGGCGCACAUAAACACAGAGCUCCCUGGAGUCUUUUCCUUGAAAAGCCCAGUCUGGAAAUUCCCCAGCCACAGUCUUCAGUCAGACGUGUUCUGCUCAUAAUCAGAACCUCCUCAUCAAGGCCGUGGUAUGAACUGGAUCCAAAGAGGGGGCCAGGGAUGGAUGGCAGCCAUGACUGACACUGAGGGAGACGGACCCCCGUGCACCCCCACACCUCCAUCGCCUUUCAGACCGGGAGCCAUAUGGACUGCAGUUUUUCAUUCGGCAAAGACGAAAGGAAGGGUAGUGUCUUGGGAAACUUGUGAAUGAACGUGUCCUGGUUAUCUCGCUGCAGCCACACGCUCUUAAAGCCCAGCCGGCUGGGCUUUGCCUGGCCCCAGGUGAAGAGGCCUCCACUUUGGCAGUCCUUCUGCCAGGAUCGCUCUCUAGACCUCACACCAAAAUACUCACAAAUCCCAUCACCUCCUGUCGAGAGACAGCCCCAGUAUGGACCUGACAUUCUCUCCUGCCACUCCUAUCACAGCCUUCAGUGAGUCAGUGAGCUGCACCAGGGCAAGAGGGGACCUUCACCACGCAAUGACACGUCUGUCUGAUGGAUAAAUGGGUGCCCGCCUGAAUGAAUGAGUGAAUGAAUGAAUGAGUGCUUUCACUUCAUCUCUGUCUGUGAGAUCCACUUGGACACUGGACGCUUCUUCUGAGCAUGGCCACAAUGCAACCUCCUGAGCACCGCGCAUGGAUGCCUGUUACUCACUCCAGGACCUGCUUGCAGUCAGCCAAGCGCGUGCGGCAUCUUUGACAAGUUGGAUGCUGAGUGGGGAAACUUGAAUGCUUCCAUCUAUUUACUUUUACCACAUGCCAUAGAAAUUAAAAAUACAUUGUACCACAA